rnacentral:rRNA from 1 species
AUACGUAGGGAGCGAGCGUUGUCCGGAAUUACUGGGCGUAAAGGGCGCGUAGGCGGCGCUUCAAGUCGUCUGUCAAAUGGGAGGGCUUAACCCUUUUUCGCAGACGAAACUGGAGAGCUUGAGAAGCAGAGAGGCAAACAGAAUUCCUGGUGUAGCGGCGACAUGCGUAGAUAUCAGGAAAAAUACCAGUGGCGAAGGCGGUUUGCUGGCUGCAUACUGACGCUGAAGCGCGAAAGCCAGGGGAGCAAACGGGAUUAGAUACCCCGGUAGUCCUGGCAGUAAACGAUGUAUGCUGGGUGUGAGACUAGCGAUAGUUUCGUGCCGAAGUUAACGCGAUAAGCAUACCGCCUGGGGAGUACGGUCGCAAGAUUGAAACUCAAAUGAAUUGACGGGG